GAAAUUAUACUAACCACUUUCCGUCUUCCUUCAGUUUAGAUCUAUUUGCCUACUCCUUCAGCUCAGCCUAUCCAACCUGUUCCCUCUGUAAAUGCACACUAUUUCAACAACCAACAGGAAUGAGCUCCACCCCUCCCCAUCGCCACACACACUGUUCAAGAACCGUUCAAUAUCUGGAAAAGAACUGCUGCUGCAUUGCUUUGAGAAACAACAGGGAGCAAAUUACUGGACGGAUUCUUUAACUUACCAAUCAGAACUGCUGACCUUUUAUGACUCUACAAUUCAAGAAGCCUGCCAAACACUCACACUGAAUAUACCAUAAGCAUGACUAGAGGUCGCCAUUGUUUCUGCUGCUUCCUUCUUCUAACCUGAUGCCCAGGGGAUUCCCUCUGCACCUCGGUAGUCUGGUGGUCAGCGAAGGAACUGGACAGAGACUAUACUCAGAUGUGUGGCCCACAUCCUCUGAUGUUAUCUUGCUUUCAGUGUUUCUUCCCUAAAUUUUAACUCUUUGUCAACAACAUGUUCUGUCAAAAAAAGAAGCAAAUAUGAAUUAUAUGGUUUAAUUCUUUCAAGAGCAGAUUCCACUCUUGUUUCUACCUGUUUUUA